rnacentral:lncRNA from 1 species
CCGGAGACCACCCGCCCCUCUCCGUCUUGAAACCCCGCAGCCUCUAACCGCCCCGCGUUAGACACUUCGCGGAGACAGCGAGCGCUAUCCCGCGGCCGUGCUACACCGGGCGGGUAACCACGGCAACGGGAAACAAGCGGCGCGGAAGGCGGGCGGCAGGAGCCAAACUAGUGAGCAGCUGGCGGUUUGGGCUCCGCUGGGAACAGGUUUAGCGUGUGUUUUUGGUUUUUUUAAGGGCCUCAAGGAAACUCAGGUUUGAAAAUACGUUAAUGCUGUGAUUCUUCUGCAGUCGUCAACGUUCAGGAGGGAAUUUUGCAGCAGAAGGGAUGUCAAAAGGUUUUUACUUUGGACUAGCUGUAGACUUCUUCCAUUGACUGAACACCCAUUUGCUGUUGAUCACAGAUGAAGCACAUCUUUUGGUUUAAUUGCAUUUGAAAGGAAUUCAGGUUUUACACAUCCUGUUACAUUCAACAAAAGCAGUUAAAAAAAAAGGCUCUGGGUCUUGUGCUUUUGCAAUUUGGCCUGUGGCUUUUAUGUGACAGAAACAAUUUAUUCAGUGUGUUAUGUGUCUAUGAAAUUGUUUCACAGAGAAAUAAGUUUCGGGUCAUUAUAACAACAGCCAUACUCUUAAAGAAUUGUCUGCAGUUGUGCCAAGGAGCGCCAGUUCUCCCAGCCAGUAAGGUAAU